CAGUCGCCGCGGUAAUACGUAGGGUGCAAGCGUUAAUCGGAAUUACUGGGCGUAAAGCGUGCGCAGGCGGUGUUGUAAGACUGAUGUGAAAUCCCCGGGCUCAACCUGGGAACUGCAUUGGUGACUGCAACGCUGGAGUGCGGCAGAGGGGGAUGGAAUUCCGCGUGUAGCAGUGAAAUGCGUAGAUAUGCGGAGGAACACCGAUGGCGAAGGCAAUCCCCUGGGCCUGUACUGACGCUCAUGCACGAAAGCGUGGGGAGCAAACAGGAUUAGAUACCCGCGUAGUCCCUGUCUCUUAUAA
rnacentral:rRNA from 1 species